GGAAUCUUUCGAGGCACUUUGCUAAUUAAACUCCGAAUCAUCUGCGGUUGAUCUCAUUGAUUCUCCAUGCCCUCUCUGCUCGCUUCCAUGGUUUCUCUACCAGCUGCCACCAAAACCGCCUCAGAAAACCCUCAUGUUCUUGCAAAGCUCCAUGAUCAUUCUCAUAAGUCAAACGUAGUUUCCCGAAAUAUUUCGUUUUCGGGACUCGGGUUUUUUAAUUCACAGCACAAGCCACUAAGAGAAAUCAGAAUUUUGGGAAGUUCUAAUCACAAUGAAGCUUUGGUUGAUUCUACAGCUCCGAUAUCGGAUGUUCCACUAUUGUCUUGUUUAGAGGCUAUUGAAAGGCUAAAAACAAGCCGAGAAACUCAAAAGGGCAAGCAGCAAUUCCUAGCCAUGUACUCGAGCAUUUUUGGUGGAAUAACGACAGAUCCAGCAGCUAUGGUGAUCCCCAUUGAUGAUCACAUGAUCCACAGAGGGCACGGUGUUUUUGAUACUGCAGCCAUAAUGGACGGAUACCUCUACGAGCUGGACCAACACCUUGACCGGAUUUUAAGGUCUGCAUCUAUGGCCAAAAUUGAACUCCCAUAUGAUCGGGAAAGAAUAAGAAGAAUACUGAUUCAAACUGUGAGUGCUUCCAAGUGUAGAAAAGGAUCUUUGAGAUACUGGCUCUCUCCAGGACCGGGCGAUUUCCAACUAUCCCCAUCUGGCUGCCAUCAACCAGCUCUUUAUGCUGUUGUAAUCCAAGAUCAAUCACCAUUUGAUUCAAAGGGCAUUAAAGUAAUAACUUCAUCAGUCCCGAUUAAACCCCCACAAUUUGCUACCGUGAAAAGUGUGAAUUACCUUCCAAAUGUGCUUUCAAGGAUGGAGGCAGAGGAAAACGGUGCAUAUGCAGCUAUUUGGCUAGAUGGUGAAGGGUUAGUUGCUGAAGGGCCUAACAUGAACGUAGCUUUUGUUACAAAAGACAAGGAACUUCUCAUGCCUAACUUUGACAACAUUCUAAGUGGGUGCACAGCUAAGAGGGUAUUGACUCUUGCGAACGAACUAGUUAGGGAGGGUAAGCUUCAAGGAGUACAAGUAAGAAAUGUGACUGUAGAUGAAGGGAAGAAAUCCAAUGAGAUGAUGCUCAUUGGCAGUGGAGUUCUUGUUCGGCCUGUAAUCCAGUGGGAUGAGCAGGUCAUUGGUGAUGGUAUGUAUGUUGUUGGAGGCAUAAUUUCCUUCCAAAAAUAGUUACCAGAAGCAUCAGAAGUACUUCGGAGCUAUUUUGGCACUGUCCAGUGCAGGUGGAGCUUGAACGUAUUAAAGAAAAGAGUUAUGCAUGCAUGUUUUAGUUUCUUCCCUGUGCACUGCACUACUCCAUCGAUUCUGGUUGUCUAAGAAAUUUCAAGAAGCAAAGAAGGUCCUGUGGCUCUCAUUCUCUUGAGUCUCAUCAUUGAGGACAUGAAAUCUGGUCCCCCUACGGUCCGAGUUCCUGUUCCCUACUAAGCUUUCUUGAUUCCUU